GCAACAAGACAUGCAGAGAUGGAAGCUCUUGAUAUUCUUCUUGAGCAGUGGCAGUGGGCUGGAUUUUCAUCUGCAGAAGUUGCAGAGAAAUUUUCAACACGCUCCCUUUAUGUGAGGUGUAGAGGAAGCAUAUUAUGGCUGUGCAAAUGAUAAAUUUGGAGGCUGUGGCUCAAUAGUCAUUGCAUUUAAGUACCUCUGAGGCAUGCAUUAGUAAUGGAAAUCUGAUCAAAUGCAACCUACGUAUAGUUGAUUCAGUGGAAUGGUGUUCAGCCAUAUAAUGGUUGCAAAGAAUGGGUGUAGAAUUUGCUCAGUAACAAAAGCUCCAAAGCCUCACAGGUCAUGGGUUACUCAGGCUUCUUAUUAGAUCUGUGUGCAUUGGUUCCUCCUGUUGAACCUCUAAUGGCUUUGCACGACUAGGUAAGACCUUCGGAUUAUGAUUGUCGCUUUUCUGAACAUCAUGGACAACAUUUAUGGUAUUAUGAUGCAACUCUGUUGCAUGUUGAAUGAUUGUCAGUUACUUAUGCAUAUAGUAAGCGGGCUGCAUGGUGUAACCUUCUAUAGUCCUGUUAAAAGGGAAUGGCAUGAAUUAUGGUGCUGUGGCGAUGUUUCUUGCUGUGGCAGUAGGAUAUGAUGCUCAUGCUAAGAUGGAGUAUACCUAUAGCUAUAGAUUUCCUUGUAUGAUAGUAGCCAGUCACAACGAGGACACUUUAAAGGUCUUCAAUAUGAAGUUAGACAACAUCCUUGCUCUUCAU